GUUAAAGAAGAACAUAUCUGAGAGUAACUGUUCAGGUAUUGACGGUAUUUAACCAGAAAAGCCACGGCUAACUACGUGCCAGCAGCCGCGGUAAUACGUAGGUGGCAAGCGUUGUCCGGAUUUAUUGGCGUAAAGCGAGCGCAGGCGGUUUUUAAGUCUGAUGUGAAAGCCUUCGGCUCAACCGAAGAAGUGCAUCGGAAAACUGGGAAACUUGAGUGCAGAAGAGGACAGUGGAACUCCAUUGUGAGCGGUGAAAUGCGUAGAUAUAUGGAAGAACACCAGUGCGAAGGCGGCUGUCUGGUCUGUAACUGACGCUGAGGCUCGAAAGUAUGGGUAGCAAACAGGAUUAGAUACCCUGGUAGUCCAUACCGUAAAACGAUGAAUGCUAAGUGUUGGAGGGUUUCCGCCCUUCAGUGCUGCAGCUAACGCAUUAAGCAUUCCGCCUGGGGAGUACGGCCGCAAGGCUGAAACUCAAAGGAAUUGACGGGGGCCCGCACAAGCGGUGGAGCAUGUGGUUUAAUUCGAAGCUACGCGAAGAACCUUACCAGGUCUUGACAUACUAUGCAAAUCUAAGAGAUUAGACGUUCCCUUCGGGACAUGGAUACAGGUGGUGCAUGGUUGUCGUCAGCUCGUGUCGUGAGAUGUUGGGUUAAGUCCCGCAACGAGCGCAACCCUUAUUAUCAGUUGCCAGCAUUAAGUUGGGCACUCUGGUGAGACUGCCGGUGACAAACCGGAGGAAGGUGGGGAUGACGUCAAAUCAUCAUGCCCCUUAUGACCUGGGCUACACACGUGCUACAAUGGAUGGUACAACGAGUUGCGAACUCGCGAGAGUAAGCUAAUCUCUUAAAGCCAUUCUCAGUUCGGAUUGUAGGCUGCAACUCGCCUACAUGAAGUCGGAAUCGCUAGUAAUCGCGGAUCAGCAUGCCGCGGUGAAUACGUUCCCGGGCCUUGUACACACCGCCCGUCACACCAUGAGAGUUUGUAACACCCAAAGUCGGUGGGGUAACCUUUUAGGAACCAGCCGCCUAAGGUGGGACAGAUGAUUAGGGUGAAGUCGUAACAAGGUAGCCGUAGGAGAACCUGCGGCUG
rnacentral:rRNA from 1 species